AGAACGAACGCUGGCGGCAUGCCUAAUACAUGCAAGUCGAACGAACUCUUCGGAGUUAGUGGCGCACGGGUGCGUAACGCGUGGGAAUCUGCCCCUUGGUUCGGAAUAACAGUUGGAAACGACUGCUAAUACCGGAUGAUGACGAAAGUCCAAAGAUUUAUCGCCAAGGGAUGAGCCCGCGUAGGAUUAGCUAGUUGGUGAGGUAAAGGCUCACCAAGGCAACGAUCCUUAGCUGGUCUGAGAGGAUGAUCAGCCACACUGGGACUGAGACACGGUCCAGACUCCUACGGGAGGCAGCAGUAGGGAAUAGUUGGACAAUGGGCGCAAGCCUGAUCCGAGCCAUGCCGCGUGUGUGAAGAAGGCCUUCGGG
rnacentral:rRNA from 1 species